AGAAUGUAGCGUUAUUUGAUUAAGUUUGUUCGGUUGUAGUUAAAAGUAUUAAUUAUAUAUUUUUAAAAAUUUAAAAAUUUUUAAGUUUUUUUUUUUUUUUAGUUUUCUAUAUAAGAUUAUAGUAAAAUCUAGUUUGGUAUACUAUCGGUAAUACGGAUCGGCCCUGCUAUACUUGAUCUAUACUAGUAAAAGUAUUUAAAAACUAAAUUUCAUAAUUUUUCAACAUUAUUUUGGGUAGUGAUCAAAAGGUCUCAAAAUUAACAAUUUUAACGAUCGAUGUAACGCGUUUAUGAAUUUAACGGUGUAAAACAAUUCAAAUCUGAUGAAAUUUUUAUAAUUUUUUUUUUUAUUAUUUAGAGUAAGAUCACUAACUUUGAUCUUAAAUUCAAAUAUUUUAUUAUCAUUUUUUAUGAGAUUUUUAUUUUCAUCCGUUUAUUUUUAGACUACUCAUUUGAUAAGUAAAUGAUGUCGAAAAAUUAUAAAAUUUAAUUUUCAAAUACUUUCAAUAGUGCAGAUCAAGUUUAACGGAGCCGAUCGUCGAUUUGAAAACUAUAUCACUGAAAAUAAUAUUAUUGAAAAUAAUUUGGUAGCAUGGAGAUUUUCGUGCUACCGAUAGUAUAUCAGCCUAAUUCAUUAUAUUAAUUGUUAUUAUAAUUUUAUAGUAUUGAAGAAGAAAAAU
rnacentral:lncRNA from 1 species